GACGAACGCUGGCGGCGUGCUUAACACAUGCAAGUCGUACGGUAAGGCCCUUUCGGGGGUACACGAGUGGCGAACGGGUGAGUAACACGUGAGUAACCUGCCCACAACUUUGGGAUAACGCUAGGAAACUGGUGCUAAUACUGGAUAUGUGCUCCUGCUGCAUGGUGGGGGUUGGAAAGCUCCGGCGGUUGUGGAUGGACUCGCGGCCUAUCAGCUUGUUGGUGGGGUAGUGGCCUACCAAGGCGGCGACGGGUAGCCGGCCUGAGAGGGUGACCGGCCACAUUGGGACGGAGGUACGGCCCAGACUCCUACGGGAGGCAGCAGUGGGGAAUAUUGCACAAUGGGCGCAAGCCUGAUGCAGCAACGCCGCGGGCGGGAUGACGGCCUUCGGGUUGUAAACCGCUUUCAGCAGGGACGAAGCUUUUUGUGACGGUACCUGCAGAAGAAGCACCGGCUAACUACGUG
rnacentral:rRNA from 1 species